rnacentral:lncRNA from 1 species
GAUAUUUUAAAUAACCUGCCCUAGAGCAGGGCUUGUUAAGAUGGCAGAGCCUGGUAAUUGCGUAAGACUUAAAACUUUAUUUCAGAGGUUCAACUCCUCUUCUUAACAUUAAUGUUUAUAAUUAAUCUCCUACUUUUAAUUAUUCCAAUCUUGGUAGCUAUAGCCUUCCUUACCUUAAUCAAAUGAAAAAUACUAGGAUAUAUACAACUUCGCAAAGGCCCAAAUGUUGUCGGGCCUUAUGGCCUACUUCAACCAUUUGCUGAUGCAAUAAAAUUAUUUAUUAAAGAACCCAUAAAACCUUUAACAUCAUCAAUUAUAUUAUUUAUUAUUGCUCCAACCCUUGCCCUAACACUAGCAUUCACCAUAUGAAUUCCCCUACCUAUACCCCAACCCCUUAUUAACAUAAAUAUAGGAGUCCUAUUUAUCUUAGCCACCUCAAGUCUAGCUGUCUAUGCAAUCUUAUGAUCUGGCUGAGCCUCCAACUCCAAAUAUGCUUUAAUUGGAGCCCUACGAGCCGUAGCACAAACUAUCUCAUAUGAAGUAACGCUAGCAAUUAUUCUUCUCUCAGUACUUCUAAUAAAUGGAUCCU